rnacentral:rRNA from 1 species
UACGUAGGGUGCGAGCGUUGUCCGGAAUUAUUGGGCGUAAAGGGCUCGUAGGCGGUUUGUCGCGUCAGGAGUGAAAACUCGGGGCUUAACCCCGAGCCUGCUUCUGAUACGGGCAGACUAGAGGUAUGCAGGGGAGAACGGAAUUCCUGGUGUAGCGGUGAAAUGCGCAGAUAUCAGGAGGACCACCUGUGGCGAAGGCGGCCCCCUGGGCCGGCCCUGACACUGAGACGCGAAGGCGUGGGGAGCGAACGGG